UACGUAGGGACCAAGCGUUGUUCGGAUUUACUGGGCGUAAAGGGCGCGUAGGCGGCAGAUCAAGUCAGCUGUGAAAUCUCCGAGCUUAACUCGGAACGGUCAGCUGAUACUGUUUUGCUAGAGUACAGACGGGGCAACCGGAAUUCUUGGUGUAGCGGUGAAAUGCGUAGAUAUCAAGAGGAACACCUGAGGCGAAGGCGGGUUGCUGGGCUGAUACUGACGCUGAGGCGCGAAAGCUAGGGUAGCAAACGGG
rnacentral:rRNA from 1 species